rnacentral:rRNA from 1 species
GUGUCAGCCGCCGCGGUAAUACGAAGGGGGCUAGCGUUGCUCGGAAUUACUGGGCGUAAAGCGCACGUAGGCGGUUUCUUAAGUCGGGGGUGAAAUCCUGGAGCUCAACUCCAGAACUGCCUUCGAUACUGGGAAACUUGAGUUCGGGAGAGGUGAGUGGAACUGCGAGUGUAGAGGUGAAAUUCGUAGAUAUUCGCAAGAACACCAGUGGCGAAGGCGGCUCACUGGCCCGAUACUGACGCUGAGGUGCGAAAGCGUGGGGAGCAAACAGGAUUAGAAACCCUUGUAGUCC